rnacentral:tRNA from 1 species
GGAGGGCAUGAAGAGUGGCUACUUCGCCCGGCUUUGAAACCCGGCGGGUGUCUGCAAGGGCGCCUUGCGGGUUCGACGCCCGCGCCUUCCGCCA